AUCUAUAUAGUUUAAUUAAAACAUUACAUUUUCACUGUAAAAAUAAUAUAUAAAUAUUUGUAGAUA
rnacentral:tRNA from 1 species